rnacentral:tRNA from 1 species
GUCGGGGUAGCUCAGUCGGUUAGAGCGUAGCACUCAUAAAGCUAAGGUCGAGAGUUCGAUUCUCUCCCUCGACA